UCUAAUCUGAUGUUAUUCGGAAGUGAUGUUAUUCUGAUGGAUGGAAAGUAUGAUCCCUUAUCUAUUUAUAGAUGUGAAAGAGUGAGUAUAAUUAGAUGCUUAGGUAUCUUUUUGUUAGACACACCCCUUCACGUAAUCCAUCUAUUCAUUAAGAGUUGUAUCCCCUGCAAUCACCAUCAAAUUGGAUGUAUCUUUUCAUUAGAAUGCAUCUCUUCUUCAUUUACCGAGAGAAAGUGACUUUUUAAGAUAUCUCGUAGCAAAUAAUUAAAUUAAAAAAUGUGUCCAUAGAAUUUUAUAGAAUUUUAAAAGGAGGAGAGAGAAAUAAUGGUAAAUACUAAAUCUUAUCUAUUUAGAAAAUCAAGUUAUUUGGGAGUAU
rnacentral:lncRNA from 1 species